rnacentral:SRP_RNA from 1 species
GCUGGGCAUGGUGACGCGUGCCCAUAGUCCCAGCUACUCUGGAGGCUGAGAUGGGAGGAUCUCUUGAGCCCAGGAGUUCUGGGCUGUGGUGCGCUAUGCCGAUCGGCUGUGCACACUAAGUUUGGCAUCAGUAUGGUCAUCUCCUGGAAGCGGGGGGCCACCAGGUUACCUAAGGAGGGGUGAACCAUUCCAGCUCGGAAAAAGAGCAGGUCAAAACUCCCAUGCUGAUCAGUCGUGGGAUCGCGCCUGUGAAUAGCCACUGCACUCCAGCCUGGGCAACAUAGUGAGUCCCAGUCUCU